rnacentral:lncRNA from 1 species
AAAGGAUCAGCAUGUUUUCAUCCUUACUAGGAUUUAGGCAUAAGGAUGGUUGAUGGGUAGGAAGAGAUUUGAUGAGAUGUACCAUCAGAGAUAAAAGGGAGGGAACAGAAACUUAACUGUGCUUUUACUUUUCAGAAGGGAGCCAGGGACUAUAGAUCAGGAGCCAAAACUUGGAUAAUGAGGUAAGAUUCUGGAAUGCAUGUUAUUUUGUCAUGUUUGGUGCCUACUCUUAGCAUAUUUUUUUUGAAAGCUUAUGGAAAAAAGACUCUAAACUUGACUUUGAAAACUGCUAGAAAGGGAUUUCUGUGAACCUAGCAUUCUACUCUGUCACCAAGCUGAGGAAAAAUAAAUCUUCGUGGGGGAAAAUAAAAGGGUACUGGCAGAAUUGAAAGAGAAAAGGAAAUGGACUGAGCCUCUGAGACUUAUGCAAAGUUAGCAAAUGAGCAAAAGUCUCUGGAACUGAUAGAAGUCUUAGGGCUUGGCUCACAGUUCUGGGAUUUGUGAUAACAGAUAGUUAUCCUUUGCAAAUCCUCAAAGUAGCCCAUGAAGGAACCCUGAUGUUUCAUUCUAAUCAACAAAGUGGUUUUCAGGUUAGUGGAUAACAGGGAAACCAGGAAGUGAGCCUCUGUGAGUCGGGGGAGAAAAGCAUGGCAUUGCCACAGCCAUGAUUGAUAGAGGAAACAUGCUUCCAUCCCAGUUUGUGGAGGCCUGUUGAACCAGGGGUUUGCAGGAAUCACUAGGUCACAACAUGAGGAGUAAGAAGGACUCCUCCACCCUGAGAGGUAUAUACUGAGGAAUAUCUGAUCAUGGGAUCAACUGGAGAAAACCAGUAGGAAUUGGCUUUUUAGAAAGAUCACUCAGUGUAGAGAAUGGAUUAGAGAGGGUAUGACUGCUGGGAGAGAGACCAGUUGGGAAGCUGGUAUGGGUAAUCUAGAUAAGAUGAUGAUGGUCUGAACUUGAAUAGCAGCACUGUGCGUGGGGGGAAAUGGAUCAACGCAAAGAUAUUUAAGGGGCAAAAUUAACAAAAUAUGAUAUGGGAGGUGAAGGAGCAUGGAUGUUAUCAUACACUUAUCAAGGAAUCUUUUUUUCAGUGGAACAUCUGUGAACACAUAGAAGAACGGUUAUAGCAAAACACAUGACUGAAUGGGACAAUAUAGUGAAAAUGCAAACUUUGGCCUAGAGUGAUUGCAAUGUUCAACUCUGAACGAAAUGCCAAAAACAAGUACCUGAAGGCUAAAGACAGUGAACAAAAGCAGGCAAGUUUUGGUGGGAAGAUGAAACUUGGAAGAAGGUGCCAUUAAGAGGAGGUAAGUUUCCUGGUUUUGAUGUGUUAGCCUGAGGGCAGUCUACUAGCAGAGUAGCUAAAACACAAUAGAAAGCCAUCUUUUUUUUUUUUUUUUUUUUUUUUUUUUUUUUUUUUUUUUUUUUUUUUGGCUUGAACAACCUGAGAGCAGAGUCUGCAGCAACACAGUCACUGGAUGGAGGGGGAAAUCCCAGAACAGAGGCAGAGAAGGUCAUGCCGCAAUUUCUGAGUAUGAACUUUGCUUAGAUCUCUAGCUGACCCCUGAGGCACACCUGUGGGGUAGACCCAAAGCAAUCUGCAGCUAGUCAGAACUCAACUGAGAUGUGAUUUACUUAUAACCACAGGUUGGGUCAGUUUGCAGUUUGAGUUGAACCAAGUUAAUCGAUUGCCUGCCAUAGCAAAAACAUCGACACUAUUCUGAGGAGUAAAACGGAAUCCGUGGUUUCCACAACAUAACAGUCACAAUUCAAAAUUACUCAGCAUAGGAGGAACCAGAAAAAGGCAGUCCUUUGCAAAAGAUAAGACAAUUAAUGGAAGCCAACCCUGAGAUAACAUAGAUGUUGGCCUGAUCAGACAAGGACUAUGAAACAGCUAUUAUAACUAUGCUCAAUGAGGUAAAAGAAAAUAUGUUGUAAUGAAUGGAAAGAUAAGAAAUCUCAGCAAGGAUGGAGAAAUAUUUAGAAAUGUCGAUGAAAAGAGUCAAACUCUGUAAAAUAUUUGAAUAGAUUUAUUCUGAGCCAAAUAUGAGCGACCACGACACGUGACACAGCCGUCAGGAGGUCCUGAGAACAUGUGCCCAAGGUGGUUGGGGUUCAGCUUGGUUAUAUACAUUUUGGGGAGGCAUGAAACAUCAAUCAAAUACAUUUGAAAAAUACAUUGGUUUGUUCCAGAAAGGCAGGACAAUUUGAAGUGGGGGGGAUGGUGCUUCCAGGCUAUAGGUAAAUUUAAUCAUUUCUGGUUGACAAUUGGUUGAGUUUGUAUAAAGACCUGAGAUUAAUAGAAGAAUUUGAGCAAGAUAAAAAAUCAGAGCUUAGUCCUCAGAAAGAACCAAACAAAUUUUACAAAAGAACCAAACAAUAUCUGAGAUAAAAAUAUAUCUCUUAAUUCACUAUGCUAAACUGCCUCCCUGCUUCUCAAUGUUUAUCUGUUAGAUCAAGUUUAUGUUUAUCAAUUGUGUUUAGACCUUAUCUCCAUUUACUAAGUUAAGGUCUUUUUGAUUUAUAAGUUUCUGAAAGAGGCAUAAUAAAAAUUCCCACUAUGGCUGUGGCUAUAUCAAUUUUAGCUUGUAAUUCUGACUGUUCCCACUUUUGUAUGUUGAGAUUUUUUGCUAGGGUCAUUCACAUUUAUGAUUAUUAUAUCUGCUUUGUAAAUUGUUCCUUAUGUAGCAUCUCACUUUAUCCUUAUUUAUGUCUUUUCUUAAAUUCUAUUUUCUUUACUUUUUAACAUCAAUAUUUUGUCAAAAUUUGUAGAGUAAAAUGUUUAAGAAAAUCAAGGAAAGAAAAUAUGAGCCAGAAAUUUUAUAAGAAGACAAACUGACCUUUAAUUAUAAGAGUCACAGGCAAGUUCUAAUGAAAACAUUAGAAUUCAGGGACUAUUUUUCCCAGAUCGUUCCUAAGGAAUCUACUAAACAGCAUGAACAUUAAACAACCAACAUAAUUGAAAAGUUUGAUAUGAGGAUUUAUGGUAAGGAUGAAUCAUAUAUUUAUUUACAGAAAUAAGUCUAAAUUAUGCUUACAAGGAAUAGAGAAUAGUAUGCAAUGGUUGUGUGCUCUGACAAUGUAGAUACAGUACAACUAUAAAAAAUUGGUGGGGGAGUGGGGAGAGCUAUGAAAAGCAGAAUUAGCUUGUCAUUUGCCUUAUAGUUAUUAACUGAAGUAAAAGGACAUUACUUCAAAUCAGAUGUUGAGGAAAAGGGAGAGUUGGGGCAAAAGAGGUUUAUAGUUACUUUCAAUAUUGCUCAUUAGAGGGAAGCAAUAGUCAUUUACCAAGAAAAAA